rnacentral:rRNA from 1 species
UACGAAGGGGGCUAGCGUUGUUCGGAAUUACUGGGCGUAAAGCGCGCGCAGGCGGUCCUUUAAGUCAGGGGUGAAAUCCUGGAGCUCAACUCCAGAACUGCCUUUGAUACUGAGGAUCUUGAGUUCGGGGAGAGGUGAGUGGGAACUGCGAGUGUAGAGGUGAAAAUUCGUAGAUAUUCGCAAGAACACCAGUGGCGAAGGCGGCUCACUGGCCCGAUACUGACGCUGAGGCACGAAAGCGUGGGGAGCAAACAGGG